AAAAUUGCAUGUUCCUUUCAAGACCGUAUUCAAAACAUCCUAUACGUUUGAUUGUGUGACAAGGGAUAAAUGAGUGAAUUUAGAUCGUUUUUUACCAUUUAAUUGAAAGGCUUAAACAUGGACUCUGCGAUAUCAAAGGACAAUUUGAAUGGAAAUGGCCACACGAACGUCGCAUUUGAGACUGCCGGUGAAGUGGACCUGCACAGCACACAUGAAGGCGGAAAAGGCGUAAAUAUGUACCUGUCGGACGUCGUGUUUGAUGGAAGGCCAAGCGGAGACAAAGUAGAUGAUGGAAUUACCACAGAGGGCAAGGGAGAACAUGUAAUGAUCUACAAUGUAUCCGAAUCGCCUCCUAUAUACCUCACCGUAUUCUUUGGUCUGCAGCAAGCUCUCCUGUCCCUGUCCGGAAACCUAUCGGUGUCAUUGCUGGUUGCAGAAACAGUUUGCGCUGAAAAUGACGAAGAAUUCAAAGCCAAAUUGCUCGGGACUACUUUAUUUGUUAGCGGUAUUACUACACUGUUGAUGACGUUUGUGGGAAUGAGGCUUCCGCUCUUUCAGGGUGCAGCCCCGGAUUAUGUCAUACCACUACUUGCCAUGGCGGCCAUUAAUAAAGAAAGAUGUGAACUGGACCCUGCUGAAAUUGCACUAGCAACGAAUGAAUCUCUUCUUCAAAACACAACUCUGGAUCUGAUAGCUCUAAACAGACCAACCGUGUUACAUAAUACUCAGCUGCUUCAAGGGAGUCUCAUAUUAGCGGGAGGUAUCCACUGUCUGAUUGGGGUGACAGGUUUGGUUGGCUUUCUGUUGAAGUUCGUUGGCCCUGUCACCAUCGUUCCCGCUAUUUUUCUGAUUGGAAUCUACCUCAUGAAAGCAACGGCAAAGUUUGCGAAGGCCCAUUGGGGAAUCUCCUUCAUGACCUGCGCUAUAUCACUGAUUCUAGCUUUGUAUAUGUCGAAGAUCAAACUACCCGUGCCAGUAUGGACAAGGAAGAGGAAAUGUCACAUGACACGUUACCCGUACCAUCAAGUGUUUGCAAUUCUAAUAGCAAUACUGAUAGGCUGGGCAGUGUGUGGUAUUAUGACAGCGACGGAUGUGAUUCCGAACAAUAAAAAUGAUACAAGAUUCUACACGCGUACCGACGCACGUAGUUAUAUAAUUGAAACUUCAAGUUGGUUCUACUUUCCUUAUCCAGGUCAAUUCGGUCCAAUAGACUUCAGCGUUAGUGUCUUCAUAGGCUUCAUGAUAGCGACCUUCACCUCUAUCCUCGAUUCCAUUGGAGAUUACUACGCAUGCGCAGCGAUGUGUCGAACACCGCCCCCGCCAGCACAUGCAGUAAACAGGGGUAUAGCCCUUGAGGGCUUCUGUAGUACACUGGCUGGGCUACUAGGGUGUGGUCAUGCUACCACUACAUACGGCGGAAAUAUUGGAGCAAUAGGUGUCCAGCAGAAGUGUGUUCUUUGUAUGCGGUGUUAUAUAUAUUAUUUUUGGAAUCAUUGGAAAAUUUUCCGCCGUCUUUAUCUGUAUUCCUUACCCAGUUCUAGGUGGUGCCCUUAUUACAAUGUACGGCAUGUUUACUGGUGUCGUCCUGUCCAACCUGCAUGCAGUCGACCUGAGUUCGAGCCGCAACUUAGCCAUCAUCGGCACAUCAAUCUUUACAGGUCUUAUGGUUCCCUACUGGAUUGAACAGUACCCUGAUGAACUAGCUACAGGCAGCGACAGCGCUGAUGAAAUACUGAAAAUCUUACUGGGAAAUCCAAAUAUGUUUGGCGGAGUUCUUGCGUGUAUCCUGGACAACACAGUUCCGGGUACGAUUAAAGAACGGGGUAUUGCAACUUGGCAGAACGUGGAAGA
rnacentral:misc_RNA from 1 species